rnacentral:rRNA from 1 species
UACGUAGGGGGCAAGCGUUGUCCGGAAUCAUUGGGCGUAAAGAGCGUGUAGGCGGCCCGGUAAGUCCGCUGUGAAAGUCCAGGGCUCAACCCUGGGAUGCCGGUGGAUACUGUCGGGCUAGAGUCCGGAAGAGGCAAGUGGAAUUCCCGGUGUAGCGGUGAAAUGCGCAGAUAGUCGGGAGGAACACCCGUGGCGAAAGCGGCUCUCUGGGACGGUACUGACGCUGAGACGCGAAAGCGUGGGGAGCAAACAGG